UACAGAGGUCCCAAGCGUUGUUCGGAUUCAUUGGGCGUAAAGGGUGCGUAGGCGGCGCGGUAAGUCGGGUGUGAAAUCUCGGGGCUUAACCCCGAAACUGCAUUCGAUACUGCCGUGCUUGAGGACUGGAGAGGAGACUGGAAUUUACGGUGUAGCGGUGAAAUGCGUAGAUAUCGUAAGGAAGACCAGUGGCGAAGGCGGGUCUCUGGACAGUUCCUGACGCUGAGGCACGAAGGUCAGGGGAGCAAACGGG
rnacentral:rRNA from 1 species